rnacentral:rRNA from 1 species
GUCUUUUUGUAAAUAUAAAGAGUCCGGUCUGCCCACUGAUGAGCAUAUUAAAGGGCCGCAGUAUUUUAACUGUGCAAAGGUAGCAUAAUCAUUAGUUCUUUAAUUGAGAUCUUGAAUGAAUGAUUAGACAAAAAAAUUACUGUCUUUAGAAUAAUAGUUGAAUUUAACUUUUGAGUGAAAAGGCUUAAAUAAUUUAAAGUGACGAUAAGACCCUAUAAAGCUUAAUAUUGUUAUAAAACUUUUGAUAAUUUAAAGUAUAAAGUUUUAAGGUUUAUUAGUAUUUUAUUGGGGCGAUAGAAGUAAAAGGUUUAAUAACUGCUUUUUUUUUAAUCAAAUAUAAAUGGUUAUUAUAUAAGUGAUCUUAUUUUAUAGAGUAAAAGAUUAAGUUACUUUAGGGAUAACAGCGUUAUUUUUCUUGAGAGUUCUUAUCGAAAGAAAAGAUUGCGACCUCGAUGUUGAAUUAAAAUAUCUAUAUAAUUGUAGCGGUUAUAUAAGAAGGUCUGUUCGACCUUUAAAUUUUUACGUGAUUUGAGUUCAGACCGGUUUAAACCAGGUCGGUUUCUAUCUUUUAAUUAAAUUAUAAUUAUUUUA